UACGGAGGGUGCAAGCGUUAUCCGGAUUCACUGGGCUUAAAGGGUGCGUAGGCGGGUUGGUAAGUCAGUGGUGAAAUCUCCGAGCUUAACUUGGAAACUGCCAUUGAUACUAUCAGUCUUGAAUACCGUGGAGGUCAGCGGAAUAUGUCAUGUAGCGGUGAAAUGCUUAGAUAUGACAUAGAACACCAAUUGCGAAGGCAGCUUACUACACAGUUAUUGACGCUGAGGCACGAAAGCGUGGGGAUCAAACAGG
rnacentral:rRNA from 1 species